GUGUGUGGUUUGCCGUCUGCCUGUGUGUGUGUGGCUGUGAUUGUAUGUAUAAAACUGUAUGCCUGUAUGUUUGUAUGACUGUCUGCCUGUGUGUGUGUGUAUAUGACUGUCUGCCUGUGUGUGUUUGUGACUGUGUGUAUGACUGUCUGCCUGCGUUUGUGUGUGUCUGUCUGUGACUACCUGUGUGUCUGUGACUGCCUGUGUGCGUUUCUGUGACUGUCUGCCUGUGUGUGC